rnacentral:rRNA from 1 species
GACGAACGCUGGCGGCGUGCUUAACACAUGCAAGUCGAACGGGCCUGUCUUCUUUUUUGGGGGUGGGUUGAGUGGCGAACGGGUGAGUAUCACGUGAGUAACCUGCCCUUCGGUCCUGGAUAACCGCUUGAAAGGGCGGCUAAUACGGGGUGGUCCGGUUGGUCCGCAUGGGCUGGUCGGGAUAGAUUCACUGUUUUUGGUGUUUCGGCGGGGGAUGGGCUCGCGGCCUAUCAGCUUGUUGGUGGGGUGAUGGCCUACCAAGGCGGUGACGGGUAGCCGGCCUGCGAGGGUGGGCGGCCACACUGGGACUGGGAUACGGCCCAGACUCCUGCGGGAGGCAGCAGUGGGGGGUAUUGCACAAUGGGCGGAAGCCUGAUGCAGCGACGUCGCGUGAGGGAUGGAGGCCUUCGGGUUGUGAACCUCUGUUUCCGGCGGUGAAGGCCCUGUCCGUGUGGUGGGGUUGACGGUAGCCGGGGAUGAAGCGCCGGCUAACUACGUG